GAAAAUGACCAGGAUAUUCAAGAGUAGUAGACCAGAGGACACAUGAAGUGACGAACUUUGCUGACAUAUAAAUUACAUUUGAGGUCAAUUUCUGCCACAUUUGAAGAAUUUUGCAACUAAGCACCAAUUAUCCAAAACGAGUAGAAGGUGCAAAAAGAAGCUUGAAGGGUGAGACAAAGUUAACAUCUUUAUUUUAUGAACUUACAAAGUAAGAUGGUUGGUAGAAGUUUCUUGAAAGGGGGUCAACUUUGGGAAUACAAAAGUUCUGAUAUUUUCAAGGGCAGA